GAUUGAACGUCUUUUACAUCAUAAUAUGUGAACACCUGAGAUGAAGUGAAGAAGACACAUUUUAUUUUUGACGCUAUAUGUUUUAUUAUGCCAUCAGCAAGCGAGCCAUCGAUCGUGACAUCGACACAACUUUUCCCCCUGAGAGAUUGCCACUGUGGUUAAGAGCUACCAGCAAGAACUUCAGGAGCUCCAGCAGAACGUGAUGAUGCAGGAGGGAAGGGAAGUGGGCAUGUUUACUAAAAAUGCUGGAUGACAGGACCGUUGCAGCGCAGCAGAUCAGGACAGGACGAAAUUAAGCACUCUCUCCACGUCUCCAUCUGCUUGUGUCCUCUGGUUGGGACGUGUUCUGGUCUCCGGCAUG